CUUUCCCAAGAUAGUCCAAGGAACCACUCAUCAGACAAUCUUGGGCUCCAAGCCUUUCACACGUUAAGUCUCUGCUCUGCUCUCUUUGAAGUUAAGUAGCAUCCUAGGUCCUAGACAGUUAAUCUCUUGCAUACUCAUCUUCUCUGGCAAGCAACCUCUUGGAUCCAGAUGGAAAGUUCUAGUAGAAGAUGCAGAAGUGACCAGAUGGAGAGAGAUGGAGAGAAGGGAUGAUCUGCAAUGUAACUGAGAAAGUCCUUCUAAGGACUCUUACAAUUGCUGUAUGCUGGAAAACCACCUGAGAAAUUUGAAAGUAUGAAAGCAAUCACGUCUCAAUAGAAUAGAAAUUAGAAUACAAGUUUUAAAUCUUUUCUGGCCUUGAAUCCCUUUGGAAACCUGGUAAAACCUAUAAAUUAUUAUAAGCACGGUC